rnacentral:lncRNA from 1 species
UUGGUUUAGAAGGUGAACAAACUAUAUCUAACAACAAUAAUAAUAAUAAUAACACUCAUUCACCAACUCUCAUGUUAUAUAAACCCGAAAAUCUCCUUCAAUUUUCCAUACAAACCAACUUAUCAUCAAAGAUUUGAUUGAUUUCGAUAUCAUUCGUUCCGAAAAUCUUGCUUCUGAAUAAUUACAUUUGGCAAUCAUGGUCUCUUCUCGUAGUUUCUUUGUGUUAAUUUUAUUUAUCACUUUAUCAUGUUCAAAUAUGAAUCCAUGCUUCGCGGGCCGUCAUCUUCUCCAAAUACCACCACUUCCACCGAUGCCAAGUCUUCCUCGGCCUCAACCAAUUCUGCCACCAUUGCCUUCGAUGCCUAAUCUACCGCAGCCGAGUUUGCCUUCACUUCCUACAAUUCCCAACAAUCUCCCACAGCUGACAUUGCCUCCACUCCCCAGCAAUCUUCCUUCUCUCCCCACCAUCCCAACUACAAUUCCCUCUAUCCCACUCCUCUCACCUCCUCCUGCUACAACCAGUCCUUGAUUAACCUAUACACACACACACACACACACACACACGGAUAUACCUAUAAAUAUUGUUUCUCUUCUAUGCGUGACCUGCACUAGCUACCAGUUUGAGUAUUUUCUUUUGUAUUUUUCUUUAUCAUUUUUUAAAGUUGAGAUUAUAUAUUUAUGCCAUGUGUGAGCUUGGCAGCUGCUUUAUUGGCUUGCUAUUUAACCGUUGUACUUCAGUGUGUUUUUAAUUAUACUAUAUGGGCAUACUUGAUAUUAUAUAUAUACAUAUGGGUCUACUUUAUAAAUAUGCAUGCACUCAUAUUUUUCAUUUCUGCUUAGCUUCUUUUUUCUCCUGCAAUUUCCCUUUUCUGUGAUCUUCAAGAUUUUAAUACGAAGAAAGACUUGCAAAGGUUCCUAAUUUCCAACGAUC